rnacentral:sRNA from 2 species
CGGACACCUCUGCCGAAUCCGGCCUGCCGCCUGGCAGUUCGGAACCGGGGACCCACACGCAGAACCGGGGUGAAUCGGUCCGCGCCCGCGCGCCCGGACCGUAGGACAGCCUUCCGUUCCGUCCGAACCCGACAGCUAACCCGGUAGGCGGUCCACGGAAGGAGAU